CCUACGGGAGGCAGCAGUGAGGAAUAUUCGGCAAUGGGCGGGAGCCUGAACCAGCCAAGUCGCGUGAGGGACGACGGUCCUAUGGAUUGUAAACCUCUUUUGUCGGGGAACAAAGGCGCCCACGGGUGGGCUUAUGAGUGUACCCGAAGAUAAAGCAUCGGCUAACUCCGGGCCAGCCGCCGCGGUAAUACGGAGGAUGCGAGCGUUAUCCGGAUUUAUUGGGUUUAAAGGGUGCGUAGGCGGACAGUCAAGUCAGCGGUAAAAAUGCGGUGCUCAACGCCGUACAGCCGUUGAAACUGGCAGUCUUGAGUGGGCGAGAAGUAUGCGGAAUGCGUGGUGUAGCGGUGAAAUGCAUAGAUAUCACGCAGAACUCCGAUUGCGAAGGCAGCAUACCGGCGCCCGACUGACGCUGAGGCACGAAAGCGUGGGUAUCGAACAGGAUUAGAUACCCGAGUAGUC
rnacentral:rRNA from 1 species